UUAUUUAUUUAUCUCUUUCUUGGUGCCAUUCUAUUCUGCAACAGACCUUAAAUUCAUCAUAAGAAUCCACAGAUCAAACAAAGUGAGUAGCCAAACGCCUGCAUGCAUCAGCAUUGCUUCUUGAUUAGACUUAAUUAUAGGUUACAGCACUACCAUUUGCUUUAUUGUUUACCAUUGUCAGAAGAUUGUUGGAAUAGGCUAAUUUGAAGGGAUUAGCAUCAUUAGCAAUAGCAUUUUACUCUAUCUACUUAAAAGUUGCCUGUAGGUUACAUCUCUGUGGUUCUGUGUUGACAUACAUGAGUGGUUCCUCUGUAUAUCUGGUUUUAUGAAUCCACACUAGUGAUAAAUUACAUUUUAAUAGCCUUUUACUGUCCCAAUAUACCUGAUACAUGCUGUCCCAAAUUACCACGACACAUUUGGUAAUUUGGGACAGCAAGAAAAUGUCCUAAUUUAAAAAAUGUAAACAUAUUUUCCAAACAAUAUUUUGUAUGUUGAUACACUAUGACACCAUACAUGUUUUGUAUCAUUUAAAUCUACAUUAUAUCAGUCAUAACAUGUUUUACCCUUUUAUCAAAAUCAAGCUAAAGCCUAUGUCCUUUCUGUUAACUCUUGUUUUUUGGGAUCAACUUCCUGUUUGGUGCAGACCACACCCCCCCGUGUGAUGACACAUAAACUAUGUCAUGUGACUUUAGUUAUGUGCAUUCACAGCAAGGUCUUAGCACCAAUAACUUUGACUUUUCAGGGGAGAAGAAAAAGGCUUUUUUCUUAUGCUGUCCCAAAUUACCUGAAUUCACCCUAAAUCUAUAGAGCUAGAAAACAAACCAGUGAGGAAGGAUAAGAAGCUGUUUCCUGAUUUGUCUCUGACUCUGCUGACACACCCAGUAACCAGCCUGUAUUGUCUCCAACCUCGACAUCCCAG